rnacentral:rRNA from 1 species
GAUGAACGCCGGCGGCGUGCUUAACACAUGCAAGUCGAACGGAGUUAUUUGGAAGCUUGCUUUUGAAUAACUUAGUGGCGGACGGGUGAGUAACGCGUGGGUGACCUGCCUUAUACUGGGGGAUAACACUUAGAAAUAGGUGCUAAUACCGCAUAAGCGCACAGUUCUGCAUGGAACAGUGUGAAAAACUCCGGUGGUAUAAGAUGGACCCGCGUCUGAUUAGCUGGUUGGUGAGGUAACGGCUCACCAAGGCGACGAUCAGUAGCCGGCCUGAGAGGGUGAACGGCCACAUUGGGACUGAGACACGGCCCAAACUCCUACGGGAGGCAGCAGUGGGGAAUAUUGCACAAUGGGGGGAAACCCUGAUGCAGCGACGCCGCGUGAGUGAAGAAGUAUUCGGUAUGUAAAGCUCUAUCAGCAGGGAAGAAAAUGACGGUACCUGACUAAGAAGCCCCGGCUAACUACGUG